rnacentral:rRNA from 1 species
UGGGGAAUAUUGCGCAAUGGGCGAAAGCCUGACGCAGCAACGCCGCGUGGAGGAUGAAGAUCUUUGGAUUGUAAACUUCUGUUGAUCAGAAAGAAAAGUUAAUGGUUAAUACCCAUUAUAAUGACGUUACUGAUAAAGAAAGCACCGGCUAAUCUCGUGCCAGCAGCCGCGGUAAUACGAGAGGUGCAAGCGUUAUUCGGAAUUAUUGGGCGUAAAGGGCGCGUAGGCGGUGUUGUAAGUUUUUUGUUUAAGGCUUUGGCCUAACUAAAGAAAUGCAAAAAAUACUAUAAUGCUAGAGUAUAAUAGAGAGAAGUGGAAUUUUCGGAGUAGCGGUUAAAUGCGUAGAUCUCGAAAGGAACGCCAAUGGCGAAGGCAGCUUCUUGGGUUAUUACUGGCGCUGAGGCGCGAAGGCGUGGGGAGCAAACAGG